ensembl:lncRNA
CCUAGGUGCCGUGGCUGUAUGUCAGAAACACAGACCUAGGUGCCGUGGCUGUAUGUCAGAAACACAGACCUAGGUGCCGUGGCUGUAUGUCAGAAAUACAGCCUGGUGUGCCGUAUGUCAGAAACACAGACCUAGGUGCCGUGGCUGUACGUCAGAAAUGCAGACCUGAGUGCCGUUGGUCUCUGUGCCCGUAGUAGAAGGGAGGCCUCCUUCGCUAGCGAGUGAAAACUGUGCCUAAUACUCAGCAAGGAGAUCCAUCGUUUUUGGUGCUGUUGGUUAUUAUUACUGUAUAACAAUACAAAAGAAAGGUGAGGUGCUGGCUAACUACUACUCUCCUCUCCCACAGGGAUGAGGUUCAAGGUUUUCAUGUCCCACAGGGUUAGGGUUCUAGGCUCUCCUCUCCCACAGGGUUAGGGUUCUAGGCUCUCCUCUCCCACAGGGUUAGGUUAGGGUUCUAGGCUCUCCUUUUCUAGAUGUGCAAUCAUGUUAACAUUCCAUUCUUCCAGUCCUAUUGUUUCAGCUGUACCAGUAAACAUGACUUAUUUUAUUAUUAUUUUAUAUUUUUAUUGUGUAUGCGUUCUGAUGUGCGUGUAGAACCACUAGUCAAAGGGUGUAAAAUGUGAAAUAUGGAAAUCCAUGUUGUUUUUUUUGCUUUUGCAUUUUCCCUUUUUCAGAUGUAUUAUGUUUGAUUUUAGGAGACAGUCCAACACAAAAACAAACUUUUGUACAUAAUCCUGUAAAUGUCUUUAAAUACUUGAGCCUUUUCUGGGGUGAAGGAAGGAAUGAUGCCUCUAAAGGUUUUAGCGGAAGCAAGGGAGGAAGUGCUUGAUGAAGAAAAAGCCUUACGUUUCAGUUUCUUCAUGUGUGUGAGUUUGAUGCUUACAGGGUUGCUCUGGUUACGUGUAUACAUCUAAGUGCUGCUUACAUCAGUGAGAAAGAUAUGGAGUAGCAAUGGCCCCCUAUUUUAUUUUUAUUUUUUAGCUUUACUUUUUUAAAGAAAAGGGAAAAUAUGUUAAUAAAAAAAAUUGUUUUAAAUUUUCAUUACUGAAAAUUCAACAAUGUAGUAGCUCAUGUUGCACUGAGCUUGCCAGUGGUGGCUGACAAGGUGAUCCUAUUAUCAAGUUUGUUGGUUGUUGUCCUUUACAGAAGACUGAAUUGUUUUAGGAGUAUUUAAUGAAAACCAAGUUGGGUGUUUUCCACAGAAAGUGGUUGUCAAGUUUUUAUGGCCUUACAAUGUAUUUUAUUCAGAAUUUUUUUUUUUUUGCAUUUUCUUUUUCUACAGUAUAAACUAUUGCUCACGGUCGGUCUGGCAAGUUAAUUUAUUAGCGAUGCGUCUCCAACUUUCCUUCCACUUGGAAAGAUUUCAUGUUGGUUAUAUUGCCAGUUUUUUUUUUUUUACAUUUGCAGUUUGUACUAAAGGUUUAAUAAAAACGUACAGACAAUUCACCGUC